CACCCAUACUCUUAUACGGCCCUGAAUAUGGCCAUUUCAUUACCUUAAGGAAAUUAAUUGCAAUUUGAUUCUUUGAAGCUUCACUGCCCCCAAGUUCUAUUCUUGUUACUCCGAGAAGAUAAAUAAACAAGUGAAACUUGAGAUAUUGUGUAUGGGAAGCAUAGGGACCUUGCUCUCACAAGAAGAUUGUGGCAGCAUCACCAGCUAUCGUAUUUUGGAAUCAUUCUUCAGGAAAAAACCCGUGUUUUUGCAGGUACCACCAUUGUCAUAUUUCAUAGCACAUUUUCUAUUUCAUCCAUUGCAUACAGUCGUACAUAUUCAGAGAAUACAUGGCUAUUUGAUUAA